AAACUCCGCAAUGCGCGAAAGCGUGACGGGGGGACCCCAAGUGCCGUUGGUCUUUUGAUCGACGGCUUUUCCGGGAGUCUAAGAAGCUCCCGGAAUAAGGGCUGGGUAAGGCUGGUGC
rnacentral:rRNA from 1 species